rnacentral:misc_RNA from 1 species
UCCUGGUUUCCCAGGCAGUUCCGCCAGAGUGCCUUCCGAAGAAGUAGCAACUGACAGUAGGAGUUGCGCUCGUUAGAGGACUUAACCAGACAUCUCACGACACGAGCUGACGACAGCCAUGCAGCACCUGUACACCUGUCCGAACAAAGUCCGAAAAAUCGUAUUUCUACGACGAUCAAGUGCAUGUCAAGCCUAGGUAAGGUCUCUCGCGUAGUGUCGAAUUAAACCACAUGUUCCACCGCUUGUGCGGACCCCCGUCAAUUCCUUUAAGUUUUAGUCUUGCGACCGUAGUCCCCAGGCGGAUCACUUAACGCGUUAGCUACGACACUGACUCUGCUAAGCAAAGCCAACGUCCAGUGAUCAUCGUUUACAGCGCGGACUAC